AAAGGAGAAGAAAUAUAAGAAACCCAAGUUCAAUGUUAUUCAUUGCUUUUACUUGUACUCUGAUUUUUGAGCUGUGAAUCAUUGAGAAAACCCAGAGAGGUGGCGGGGAUCCUGCAUUUACAGUGGUGGAAGAACUGAAAGAAGAAGAAACUGGAAGAGUGGAAGAGAUCAAUGAGCAGAGACUAAAACAACGUUAGUACUACGCUUGAUGUCAAAAUAAUCUGGUAAGUCGUCCUGGGUUUUCGGGUAUUCGUUUGCCCAAGUUUGUAUAUUUGACCCGUUCAAUUAACUGGGCUUUGUCCCACUCCCACCAUGCAAUACAAACAAACCCGUUUGGAACCCAUUUUGACAGGAACGAGAUUAAGGUCCCGCUAUGGGUUUAGAACAUGUUCGGCCUUUUAAGAUUAAAUUCGACUGAAAGCAGAGCAAUAAAUAUUAAACAACUAUAUUUACCUGUGUUUGGAUUGCAUAAAAACAAAAGAAAGAAGAGAAGUUGCAAAAGGAAAAAAAGAAAGGAAAGGAGAGUAACACUCUAUUGAUGCACAAAGUGAGAGUCGGUGAUUCUGGUCGGUUAACUUAUUUUAGUACUAGGUGGAGAGUCGCAUGUGGGCAUAGAGAUCCCAGCUUGGUUGAUCUAGAGAGGAAGGAGAGGCCUUUGAUGAGGAAGAAGAUUGGAGAAGAAAAAUCCCCUCCCUCCUAUAAGCGAAGCCUGGAAAUUUUUUAGACGAAAUUAAAUUGUAUAUUUUUAUAAUAAUAAAAAUAUAAUUUUAUUAUUUUAAUAGUUUAUAUAUUUACAUUUUUUUAAGGAUUGAAUUAAAUUUUUAUCAUUUUAAGGGUCAAAGUGUAAUUUUACCAUUACUAAUUUAAAAUUUUAUAAAUUAUAAAUGAGUCUAAAUGUAAAAUUGUGCCUUUUAGAGAGGAUCGAGCCCCUGCCAACCCCUUAGAUUCACCACUGCUCCCUCUCUCGUCUUAAACCCUUUUAGAGGAAAAAUAAGAGAUUGUCUUUUGUGUCGAUCCAUUGUAAUGAUAGUUUAUUCAUUUAAAGGGCCAUAAUGUAUAAAAGAUGUAACAAGUGAACCCUUGAUGAGAUUUAAUAAUAUUUAUAUGCAUAACAAUUGUCCCUCAGUCAAGGGAAAAGUUAUAAAGUUACUUUUCUUAAGCUCGUUUUUCUUUUAGAGGUGUCCUUUUUGGUAAGGACAAUCUAAUAGUGGAACAUUUUUUGAAAUAUUGUGUAACACCCCAGACACUUGUCUGGUCCGGUCACUGGGCCUAAGCUGCAGGAGGCUACCAUACAAAACUCAGAUAACAUUUUAUGUACUUUAAACAUGCAUGACAGGCCAUGCCGUGGACUAGUAAAUGAUGGAUCACUACAAUGAAUCGAUCAGCUAUACAUAGUAUUUUUUAAAGCUAAAUUGAGAAUUUUUUUCCACAUACAACUUUUUCAAAAAGUAUGGUGGAUUGUUUCGCAAAUACCUCUACAAUACAAUAAGUACUGCGGAAAUUGCUAAUGUGCAUUAAAAACAAAACUUGCAUUCAUUUUAUUUACAAACAUCAAGAGAGGACAAGGAUAGCCCUUUAAACUCUAACUUGGCUUAUUACAAAAUAACAAUUGCCACUUAGAACAAUUAUUCAAAAUCAAAGGCCUACCAUAACAUCUAGCGGAUAGUGUGACCUUCUUGUUGUUCCGAUCUAUGAGUUCUGAAUGUUCCAAAAUCUACAAUGUAAAAGUAAUUUUGGUGUAAGUAUUGAGAAUACUUUGUAAGCUCAUACAAAUUCAAUAAUCACUUACAUCGCGUAAUAAUUAUAUAAUAAAAUAAUACAAAAUUAUAGUUUCCCUAUCCACUAACAUAGUUCGCCAACAAGGUAAAUGCAUAUAUUUUAUUAACUAUAAUAUAUCGAGUAAGCAACACGAUAUAAUGACACUCUUCCUGUCAAAUUCAAUCUCAUACCUUUCGUUGAUACGGACUUCAACAAUAUUAAUUAAUUCUUUCAUUUCCCCUCAUUUCUUAACUUUCUAACUUCACAUUUCACAUGUUUUAUAUUACUCGAUGAACAUCGUAAAAGAAUUCAAAACACAAGUACGCUUCAGUGCAAAGGCUCAUUCGAGCUAAUCACAUACAGAGGUAUAAGGUUACCCGUUGUGCUAAAUCUUCAUCGACACAAUAAAAGACUAACCAGGGCUAUAUGCAUGUAAGGUUACCAGUCCAGACUAAACCUUUAAAACGACAUCAGAUUACCCGUCCAAGUUAGAUCUGUGUCACAUGUAUCUUCGAAUCCGCAACAAAUGUUGGAUCUCGGAAUCAUCAGGAAAUAACAUGUAUCCAUGUGUAUGAAUCUUUUACUAAGUUUAUCGGAACACUGUCAUUUUGUAAUUCCAUUCACAUUCUUUCAUAAUAGAAUUUAGUAUUUUUCUCCUCUCUAAAUAUACUUAGCAAUCAAAUCUACUUGCUAAAUUUUUAAUUGUAUAAUUUAAAAACAAAAGGAAAGAAAGUUAAAUAAUGUUCAUAUUGCAUGAACUUACUUGACGGAAUGGUAACACACCAUGAUAAAUCCUACUCAACAACCUUUCCUUUUCCACGAUCUUCUCUUUACAAAUUCAAAUCUUGAUCUAUAACAUAAUUUAAUUCAAUUCUUAUCAUCCAAAUAUCAUUCAUCGUCUUACUGUAUUUAUAAGUCAAUUCAAUUCUAUCACUUGAAAUUCUAAAUACUAUUCAUCAGCUUACAAUGCAUCUAAACCCUUUUGGACAUUCAUACUUGAAUCUUUAUAAAUUAAGAAUAACAAUUCUUCACUUUACCAAGCAAAUCUUUUUAUAUCUAAAUUUCUAAUCAAAUCAAUUAACAUCAACACCUCAAGCAAGUAACAAUGGUAACACUUCAAAACUUUAACAGUUUUGAAAAUAGAUACACGGGUUAGCUAAAUUGAGUUAUUACGUUCACAAAAACAUAAAACUUAUGAGAAUCAGACUACAAUUUACUUAUCAUGCAAGGUCGAAAGCUAAGGAGAUUCUUAAAGCUUUUCUUUCCUCCUACUAUGGUGAGAUUUCGAAGAAGAAUAUGAGAAUGAAAAUCAUUCUCUUUCCUUCCACUGAAAUGCUUACUCUCACAAUUAUCAAAGUGUUAUUUUUCUAACAUUCUAAUAGGUGUUCAUCCAAAUCCACACAUCAACCAUCCACUAACAUUGAAAGUGGACAAUUGCUAUAUAAAAUCUUUUAACUCUUAAAGGUCAAAGAUGACUAACUAUUACAUUCAUUACAAUUUAGUCAUUAAACUAAAAUUUAUUAUCAAAUCAACCAAAUUAUUAAAUCAGAUUUUCUCGUAAUAAUAUAAUAGACUAGUAAUCAUGAAAUAUGAAAACUUACAAACUCACCCAUCAAUAAACGAGGUUCCGAAAUCAUCGUUUUCAAUACCACUGAAAUUGAAACGUUACAUAUUGAAAGCCUAAAAAAGGCAAAAAAUCUUAUAUGAGGAUGCAAUACAUAUAGUUCAGGACGGUUAACUCUUUUAAUACAGAGCAAAGAGUUGCACCACUUAAUUCUUAUGCCAUGUAACACCCCCUAACCCUAAACUGUCGCCGGAACAGGGUUACGGAGUAUUACCAGACAAAUCGGAUAUCUUAUAACUAUUUCACAAAUAAAUAACAUACAUAGCAUCCUUGUAUCAAAUAUGUCAUAUUAGUUCCAUUUCAUACUUGUAACCAAUUUAAACAUCAUUAUACAACUAUAAUCACAAGAUUAUUAUUUUUAACCUAUACAUCACCUUGAUACAUGCCACAUUAUCAAAAAAAAGGUUCAUCACUAAAAUUUUUCUGAGGUCGGGAUUGCUCUGGAUGCUGGACCGGACACUGGCUUUCUACUAACCUGCGCACGGAAACAACCGUACGCUGAGUAUAGGUAUACUCAGUGGUAUUACCAUAAUUCAAAUUUAUAACAUUAAUCAAUAAAUUAUAUACAUUCAAUUUAUGCCUGCAAUUAUUCAUUAAUUAUCUCAUACUUUAAAUCAAUUAAUAUCAAUAAGCAAUAUUUCACUAUCUCAAUUUUAUUGGAUUUUUCACAUCUCAUUCCAAUAGUUCAUUUCAAUUCAUAUACAAUUCAUUCAAUUUAUCACUAUAUUCAAUAUCAACUCUAUUGCAAUUUUUACUCAUUAAUAUCAUAUAACAAAAAUUUACUCUUAAUUAAAUCAUGAACUUUGGGUUCAUGUCUUCAAAUCUCAUAUCUCGAUUUCCAAUUCACAUAUCAAUUCACAAUUUCACUUUCUCAUUUCUUUCCAUAUCUCAAUCAAUCACACUUAUUCAAAUUUUCUCAUUUCAAUUAUUUACCCCUAUUAACUUGACUCGGACCUUGGCGGAUAUACGGAUCCAACUAAACACACCAAAAUGGCACCCAGUGCCUCAUCGGAUAGUUCGAAGCAAUAAAGUGACAUCCACUGUCUCAUCGGCAGAGCUGAAGAAAGUUGGUACCCAGUACCUCAUCGAAACUAUCCGAAGAAAUAUAGUGACACCCAGUGUCUCGUCGACUCGAGGUCGAAGUAUCCCUGAACACUUCCAAUCCUAUGGCAUGCCAACUAUAUCCGACUCAGCCCGACUAGUUAAUAGGGUAUUCAAAUCAUUUUUCUAUUUCAAAUUCAAUUUCGAUACAAUCACAAUUCAAUUCAAAUUCACUUUCCACUUUCUAAUCAAUAUAUAAUUCAAUACUAAUACAUUUUCCACUUUUCAAUCAAUGUACCAUCAAAUGCUCAUAUAUAUUCAUACUUCGUUUCAAUUUCAUUCAAUUCGCAAUUUCUCAAUAAAUUUCUCAAUCCAAUAUGCAUUUCAAUACCACAUUAAUUCUUUUAAUUCAAAUCAUAUCACUAGUAAUUUCCAUUCAAUUCACAUACAAUUCAAUAUCAUUAAAUUCAAUAUCGAUUUUCACUUUAUUUUUAUUUACUAAACAUAUUAUUCAAAAAUCAACAAUUGCUAUUAAUAAAUUCAAUACCAAUACGUAUUUAUCAUUCAAUUCAACCUUGAUACUUACCUCAAUUUGCUUAUCAUGUAUAUUAAUUUAAAUUUUAACAAUUAAUAAUUAAAUUCGAAUUAUGGUAAUACUAACCGAAAUUUCUCUUGAGUCACUCCUUGUCCACCUUCUCAUUUCCUUUCUUGGUCAAUGACUCUUGCGCGACAUUAGCUACGUAAUUAAACAAUUAAAAAUCAUUAAUACACAAUUUCAUUUAAAUAUUUUCAUUUAUUCCUAAACUUUACCUAAAUUUUAAUUUAAACCCUUACCAAUACUAAUUUUAUUUUUCCAAUCGAACUCCAUAUUCUCUCUUAAUUCUCACUAUAAACUCAUUUUAACUCUUCAAUUUCACCAUAAAUCCCUAAUUUUGAGAUUCUUUUAAUCCCAACUAUUCAAAACUUACACUUUAUUUUACAAUUAAAUCAUUUACUAACUUCUAACUUGAAAUUAAAUCAAUUUAACCCCUAAUUCAUCAUCUUUCACAACAUGAACCAUGUCUUAAAAAAAUCUAAUAUCUUACAAAAUUUCAACAUAAAUCCAAAAAUACUUUGUUCUAGGAUUCCAAAAAAUCAAAAUUACAAGAAAAUGGAUUAAAUUAACUUACCAAAUUAACUUUGAACCUUGACACCCCAAAUUUUCCUUUUCUCUUCUGAAGUGCUUCUUCUUCUUUGUUGGGCAAUAACAUGACUUGUCUUCUUUGCCACAUUUGAUUUUAAGAUGCGAGUCAGUACAGGCUUUGUCUAUUCUUCUAUUACCAUGAAGAUAGUCCUUGAAGACUUUUCUUCUGUUGCAGAUGUCUUCAAGAGCAAUAAACGUCUCUUGCUGGAUUUCUCCCAUGGUCAAAUUGAGGAUAUUUUUAUUUUGCCUGUAGAGGUUCUGGUUAAUUGCAACUUGAAUAGGAUCUGGAAGAGAUGCGACAACAGCUUGCUUCAAACUUGGUUCUGAUCCAAGAGCAUAGUAAAGCUUCAUCAUAGCAUAAAAAUGCUUAGACAAAUCUUUUUUUUGAUAGGAGCAACAUUUCCUUUUGAAGAAUUCUCGCCUUUUGAGUGUCAGCAGAUCAUCAGGAUUACCAAUAAAAUAACUAUGGAUAAUCCUUAUGGCUUGAGAAAAAUCUGUUAACACCAAAAACUGUAAUUGAUCCGCCUGAGUAACUGAGUUCCACCAAUCUUUCAACAUUCCUGUGAAUCUUGAAACAAAUUCAGACAGGAUGUUAUAAUGGCUUUCUUCUGUUAGCCUUCUCGUAUCAAGCAAUGCAUGGAACUCUUGUAAUCUUUCAGGCCAUUUGUUAAUUGGAAUAUCAUCCAGCGUGAAAACCAUCUUUGUUGUAGAGACAUGCGGUGCUGAUCUUGCAUUUGAUGGUUCUCCAACUUCAGUCAUCUCUUCAUCUGAUGGUUCUCCAACUUUCACACCAGGUGUGGCCAUUACUUCUGGCAAAUCCUCUAUUCCUUCUUCUGAGGAAUUAUUGGUUUUUUCAAUUGAUUCUGAAUCAUAAGGAUCUGCUGAUCUUUCUGAUUCCCCUGAAGAAGAUACUGAAUCAUCUUCUUCUGUAACUGGGGUUGUUUCUGAUUCAUGUCAUUCGGCUAUAGAUAUUUUUGGUAGUAUUUUUUGGCUGUAAUCCUUUAAAAACCCUAUUAAGGGAUUAGAAGGAUUUUUCUCAUUUUGUACCAUGAGAGACUUUGACAUUAGCUUUGGUGGUGGAGAUGUUGGUGGUGAAGAGAAUUGACUUUCUUCAUCUUCCUGUUUCUCCACUGGCCUUUUGCCUCUAGCCUUUUCUCUUUUCCUUUUUUCUUCCUCCUUUUGUGCUUUGAUUUGUUGACACAAUUCAUAAACUGUGGCCUUCUUCUUUGGCUCUGGUGGAGGGAAAAUGAUUAGCUGUGUUCCACUUUGUCGAGUUUUAUCUGUCUGUCUUAUAGAUGGGAAAAGUUCAAUCCUAUUUUUCUCCGGUUGUCGUGGUGGCAGCUUCCCGUUUUCUUUUAGGUACUUUAUCUGUUCUUUAAGAUUCUGGAUUUCUUUUUCUCUUUGUGCCAGAUGAGCGAGACCAUGCUAUUCUCCUCAACAAGUUCCAGCAAAUUAUUCUUAAUUUUGGAAUAAUGCUUUCUGAAAAGAAAAUGUAGAUCAACAAGCAGGAGAUUGAGUUUCUUGGAAUGAUCAUCAAAGAUGGAAGAUAUCAGCCAAAUCCAAACAUUGCAGAAGAAUUGAAGAAAUUUCCUGACAAAAACCUCACCCAGAAACAAGUCCAACAAUUUCUUGGGAUAGUUAAUUAUCUUAGGGAUUUUGUUCCCAAGAUAGCCAAAUAAACAAAUCCUUUGAGAAAGAUGCUCAAAAAAGAUCCACCUCCCUAGAAGUCCAAACAAACAAAAGCUGUCCGACAGAUCAAGGAGAAAACAGCAUGUUUGCUACCACUACAGAUCCCAUUCAGUGAUAAAAGAAUUUUGCAGACUGAUGCAAGUGACAGAUACUGGGGAGCAAUACUCUUUGAAGAAAAAAAUGGAAAAAUAUGACUUUGCGGAUAUAAGAGUGGAAGAUUUACAGAUGCAGAAAUCCAUUAUCACUCUACCUUUAAGGAAAUUCCUGCUGUGAAAUAUGGAAUUACUAAAUUCCAAUUUCAUUUAACAGGAUAUCAUUUCCUUGUUGAGAUGGAUGUGUCAUCUUUUCCAAAAAUGCUCAAGUUUAAAUAGAAGGAAGUUCCACAUUUUCAACUUCUUAGAUGGGCAGAAUGGUUUUCCAGAUUCUCCUUUGAGGUUGUACACAUUAAAGGCAAGGAUAAGGUUCUUGCAGAUAUCCUUACUAGAUUACCUGAAAAUGAAACCCAAACUCCAAAACCCAUUGAAGUCUUCAUGUUUCAACCUUCCUCUUCCUCAAAAGGAAAAAAGAAACAAUUUCAACAAACACCUUCACCUUUUUCCCUUCCUUGUAAACCAAAUUCCCAUCUAGAACACCCUCCAGAAGUUUUAAGUCUAAUCCUAGAAAAGAAAUUCCAUAAAGAAGCCAUGAACAUGAUGCUUUCUUAUCAAUUAGACGUCUUUAGGAAUUUCGGAGGAUUAUUUCUUAAGCCUUUAGGCCUACAUCCUGAUUACCCAUUUAUAAACCCAAUCAAGUUCCAGUUUGGUGAGUUUCCUGAAGAAUUAAAAUGGAUGUUCUGGUAUUUAACUUAUCUCUUUCACAUAGGGAUUGAGUUCUUUAUGCCUGACCUCCAACACUUCUUAACAAUGGCAGUCCGCAAUGAAGAAGCUCCUGAGAUGAAAAACCUGGCCACAUUUUUAAAAUGGUUCUAUCCUUUAAAAUAUUGGGUAGAUAUGCUCAUGUUUGAGUUUCUCAAAAAUACCCGUAUCCAGUGGAUAGUAAUCAUUUUCUAUAAACCUCAAUACUUCACGCAAAAUGGACCAGCAACACAAUUAGUCUCUCUUCCUAGCUCCUGGAUCCAUAAAACAUACUUUGAAGAAGUUUAUGAGAAUCCUUUUGAUCUCAAGAAGCUACAAAAAUAUCUGUGUCAUAUUAACAAGAUUAUUCCUUCAGAAAUAUGGCCCUCGGGAGAUUCAUCAGCACCAUGGGAUGUUCAAAGGAAUCCACCGACACCCUAUUAGAACCAAUUGAAAGAAGCCCUGAAUGAAUAUGCGUCCAACAUACCAGAUCCAAAAGAAUGAUCUCAAGAUUAUCCCAUGCAUUGCAGCCAGAUAAUUCAAGGCACACAUAUCUGAAAGAUAUACAUGAAGAGGGACCAAGUGAAAAAGGACCAAGUGUUUCAAAAGCUCCACUUCCCAAAAGCAAUAAUGAUGAUGGGCAGGUGAGUAAGAAGCAAGAGAUCAGCAAUUAACGAUUUAUAACAGCAGGUAUGCUAUGCCAAAACACAGGCCUUUCAUCUCUUUUUUGGCCAUCAACAAGGCACUGCCUUUUAGCUAUUAAAAUUCUUUAAUCACUGAACUCCUUUUUCAAACUCAACUGAACUUAAUAGUAUCUUCUAUCAGGUUUAAUUUCUGAUGUGCAGGAUCCAUAAGUAUGGCAAGCACAGAGCAUACUCUUAAACUCAUGAGAUAUUUUUCUUCAUAGAAAUUCUAUUUUUAAGUAAGAAGAGAUGAGAGAGGUUUAGAAAGCCAUAGAUUUAUGAAACUCGUCUGGGUUUUAUUUCAAAGGUAGUUCUUGUGUUACAACUGACACCUCUCCAUCCUUAUAUAGAGGAGGAUAUAGAUAAGCAGAUAAGAAGGAAUCUGCUUUUACACCACUCAUUAAAGCAAACAACAUGACUCAGCAUAUUUUACAAAAGUAAGACACAACUAGAAGUAGAUAAGGAGGAAUCUGCUUUAUCUACUUUUAUACUAUUGACACGUCUGUAUCUGUGUCAUAAUCUGUGUCAAUAUCAGAAGUAAUAUUGAGUUCCUCUAUUUUCUGUCUUUUCUUUUCACGGGCUCUGUAACUCCUAAGCUCCAACCUUUCAAUUCUUCUUUCUAGGUCAUCUGGUGGUAUCACAUCAUCAUUAUUGCUUUUGGGAAGUGGAGCUUUUGAAACACUUGGUCCUUUUUCACUUGGUCCCUCUUCAUGUAUAUCUUUCCAGAUAUGUGUGCCUUGAAUUAUCUGGCUGCAAUGCAUGGGAUAAUCUUGAGACCAUUCUUUUGGAUCUGGUAUGUUGGACCAAUAUUCAUUCAGGGCUUCUUUCAAUUGGUUCUGAUAGGGUGUCGGUGGAUUCCUUUGAACAUCCCAUGGUGCUGAUGACUCUCCCGAGGGCCAUAUUUCUGAAGGAAUAAUCUUGUUGAUCUAACACAGAUAUUUUUGUAGCUUCUUGAGAUCAAAAGGAUUCUCAUAAACCUCUUCAAAGUAUGUUUUAUGGAUCCAGGAGCUAGGAAGGGAGGCUAAUUGUGUUGCUGGUCCAUUUUGCAUAAAGUAUUGAGGUUUAUAGAAAAUGAUUACUAUCCACUGGAUACGGGUAUUUUUGAGAAACUCAAACAUGAGCAUAUCUACCCAAUAUUCUAAAGGAUAGAACCAUUUUUAAAAUGUGGCCAGGUUUUUCAUCUCAGGAGCUUCUUCAUUGUGGACUGCCAUUGUUAAGAAGUGUUGGAGGUCAGGCAUAAAGAACUCAAUCCCUAUGUGAAAGAGAUGAGUUAAAUACCGGAACAUCCAUUUUAAUUCUUCAGGAAACUCACCAAACUGGAACUUGAUUGGGUUUAUGAAUGGGUAGUCAGGAUGUAGGCCUAAAGGCUUAAGAAAUAAUCCUCCGAAAUUCCUAAAGACGUCUAAUUGAUAAGAAAGCAUCAUGUUCAUGGCUUCUUUAUGGAAUUUCUUUUUUAGGAUUAUACUUAAAACUUCUGGAGGGUGUUCUGGAUGGGAAUUUGGUUUACAGGGAAGGGAAAAAGGUGAAGGUGUUUGUUGAAAUUGUUUCUUUUUUCCUUUUGAGGAAGAGGAAUGUUGAAACAUGAAGACUUCAAUGGGUUUUGGAGUUUGGGUUUCAUUUUCAGGUAAUCUAGUAAGGAUAUCUGCAAGAACAUUAUCCUUGCCUUUAAUGUGUACAACCUCAAAGGAGAAUCUGGAAAACCAUCUUGCCCAUCUAAGAAGUUGUGAAUGUGGAACUUUUUUCUGUUUAAACUUGAGCAUUUUUGGAAAAGAUGACAUAUCCAUCUCAACAAGGAAAUGAUAUCCUGUUAAAUGAAAUUGGAAUUUAGUAAUUCCAUAUUUCACAGCAGGAAUUUCCUUAAAGGUAGAAUGAUAAUGGAUUUCUGCAUCUGUAAAUCUUCCACUCUUAUAUCCGCAAAGUCGUAUUUUUCCAUUUUUUUUCUUCAAAGAGUAUUGCUCCCCAGUAUCUGUCACUUGCAUCAGUCUGCAAAAUUCUUUUGUCACUGAAUGGGAUCUGUAGUGGUGGCAAACAUGCUGUUUUCUCCUUGAUCUGUCGGACAGCUUUUGUUUGUUUGGACUUCCAGGGAGGUGGAUCUUUUUUUAGCAUCUUUCUCAAAGGAUUUGUUAAUUUGGCUAUCUUGGGAACAAAAUCCCUAAGAUAAUUAACUAUCCCAAGAAAUUGUUGAACUUGUUUCUAGGUGAGGUUUUUGUCAGGAAAUUUCUUCAAUUCUUCUGCAAUGUUUGGAUUUGGCUGAUAUCUUCCAUCUUUGAUGAUCAUUCCAAGAAACUCAAUCUCCUGCUUGUUGAUCUGCAUCUUCUUUUCAGAAAGCAUUAUUCCAAAAUUAAGAAUAAUUUGCUGAAACUUGUUGAGGAGAAUAGCAUUAUUCCACUCUUAUAUCCGCAAAGUCGUCUUUUUCUAUUUUUUAUUUCAAAGGUAGUUCUUGUGUUACAACUGACACUUCUCCAUCCUUAUAUAGAGAAGGAUUGAGAUAAGCAGAUAAGAAGGAAUAUGCUUUUACACCACUCAUUAAAGCAAACAACAUGACUCAGCAUAUUUUACCAAAGUAAAGAGACACAACUAGAAGUAGAUAAGGAGGAAUCUGCUUUAUCUACUUUUAUACUAUUGGCACGUCUGUAUCUGUGUCAUAAUCUGUGUCAAUAUCAGAAGUAAUAUUGAGUUUCUCUAUUUUCUGUCUUUUCUUUUCACGGGCUCUGUAACUCCUAAGCUCCAACCUUUCAAUUCUUCUUUCCAGGUCAUCUGGUGGUAUCACAUCAUCAUUAUUGCUUUUGGGAAGUGGAGCUUUUGAAACACUUGGUCCUUUUUCACUUGGUCCCUCUUCAUGUAUAUCUUUCCAGAUAUGUGUGCCUUGAAUUAUCUGGCUGCAAUGCAUGGGAUAAUCUUGAGACCAUUCUUUUGGAUCUGGUAUGUUGGACCAAUAUUCAUUCAGGGCUUCUUUCAAUUGGUUCUGAUAGGGUGUCGGUGGAUUCCUUUGAACAUCCCAUGGUGCUGAUGACUCUCCCGAGGGCCAUAUUUCUGAAGGAAUAAUCUUGUUGAUCUGACACAGAUAUUUUUGUAGCUUCUUGAGAUCAAAAGGAUUCUCAUAAACCUCUUCAAAGUAUGUUUUAUGGAUCCAGGAGCUAGGAAGGGAGGCUAAUUGUGUUGCUGGUCCAUUUUACAUGAAGUAUUGAGGUUUAUAGAAAAUGAUUACUAUCCACUGGAUACGGGUAUUUUUGAGAAACUCAAACAUGAGCAUAUCUACCCAAUAUUCUAAAAGAUAGAACCAUUUUUAAAAUGUGGCCAGGUUUUUCAUCUCAGGAGCUUCUUCAUUGCGGACUGCCAUUGUUAAGAAGUGUUGGAGGUCAGGCAUAAAGAACUCAAUCCCUAUGUGAAAGAGAUGAGUUAAAUACCGGAACAUCCAUUUUAAUUCUUCAGGAAACUCACCAAACUGGAACUUGAUUGGGUUUAUAAAUGGGUAAUCAGGAUGUAGGCCUAAAGGCUUAAGAAAUAAUCCUCCGAAAUUCCUAAAGACGUCUAAUUGAUAAGAAAGCAUCAUGUUCAUGGCUUCUUUAUGGAAUUUCUUUUCUAGGAUUAGACUUAAAACUUCUGGAGGGUGUUCUGGAUGGGAAUUUGGUUUACAGGGAAGGGAAAAAGGUGAAGGUGUUUGUUGAAAUUGUUUCUUUUUUCUUUUUGAGGAAGAGGAAGGUUGAAACAUGAAGACUUCAAUGGGUUUUGGAGUUUGGGUUUCAUUUUCAGGUAAUCUAGUAAGGAUAUCUGCAAGAACAUUAUCCUUGCCUUUAAUGUGUACAACCUCAAAGGAGAAUCUGGAAAACCAUUCUGCCCAUCUAAGAAGUUGUGAAUGUGGAACUUUCUUCUGUUUAAACUUGAGCAUUUUUGGAAAAGAUGACAUAUCCAUCUCAACAAGGAAAUGAUAUCCUGUUAAAUGAAAUUGGAAUUUAGUAAUUCCAUAUUUCACAGCAAGAAUUUCCUUAAAGGUAGAGUGAUAAUGGAUUUCUGCAUCUGUAAAUCUUCCACUCUUAUAUCCGCAAAGUCGUAUUUUUCCAUUUUUUUUCUUCAAAGAGUAUUGCUCCCCAGUAUCUGUCACUUGCAUCAGUCUGCAAAAUUCUUUUGUCACUGAAUGGGAUCUGUAGUGGUGGCAAACAUGCUGUUUUCUCCUUGAUCUGUCGGACAGCUUUUGUUUGUUUGGACUUCCAGGGAGGUGGAUCUUUUUUUAGCAUCUUUCUCAAAGGAUUUGUUAAUUUGGCUAUCUUGGGAACAAAAUCCCUAAGAUAAUAAACUAUCCCAAGAAAUUGUUGGACUUGUUUCUAGGUGAGGUUUUUGUCAGGAAAUUUCUUCAAUUCUUCUGCAAUGUUUGGAUUUGGCUGAUAUCUUCCAUCUUUGAUAAUCAUUCCAAGAAACUCAAUCUCCUGCUUGUUGAUCUGCAUCUUCUUUUCAGAAAGUAUUAUUCCAAAAUUAAGAAUAAUUUGCUGGAACUUGUUGAGGAGAAUAGCAUGGUUCCGCUCAUCAGGGCUGUAAAGAAGGAUAUCAUCAAUGUAAAUCAAGGCUUGAUCCAUAAUAGGCUGGAAGAUUCUGAUCAUGGCCUUUUGAAAUUUUGAAGGGGCCGUUUUGAGUCCAAAGGGCAUUACAGUCCACUGGUAAUGUUUGUUUGGAAUGCAAAAACCAGUUUUGGGCCUGUCUUCAGGAUCUAUACCCCAUUGCCAAAAUCCUGCUUUUAAGUCAAAUUUUGAAAAAAUCUGGGCCUUCGCAAGACUUGAAAAUAGGCAAUUUCUAUUGGGUAAAGGGAAUUUAUCGUCUUGGAGAAAAUGAUUGAGAGGUUGGUAAUUUAUUACCAAUCUUAGCUUUCCACGAGCUUGCUCGGAUCUCUUAUUGACAUAGAAUGCUUCACAUGCCCAUUGUGAAUCUGAGUCUUCUAUCAAUCCUUUUGUCUACAAUUGUUGACAUUCUUGUUCAGCUAAUUUGAGAUGAUCUGGAUUCAUCCCAACAUGACUAGCUUUAGUAGGAUUAAUGUCUUCAUUUUUCUUGAAAGGAAGUUUGAUGAAGAAUUUUGAAUUUUUCCAUAGAGGAUGGUCGUAUUUUUUCAGAAAAUCUGAAUGCGAGUCUGCACAUGCUUUUUGCCUUAAUUCUUCAACAACUUCUUGAAUUUUGUCAGCAUUAAUUGAGAACAACCUGGGAAUUGGUACAUAAGGUUUAAACAUUUGCUUGUACCUUAUACCAUCUGGGAGAAUUCUUAAUUGUUUGGCUUUGAGAUAUAAAUCAAAACCAACAAUAAGAUCUUUUCCAGGAAGCUUUGAUCCCAGUAUUGUUGCGGUAAUGGAACAAGUAGGAAAGAACUGGAUCUUGAUAGACUUGCUUCUCAGGUUUGUUGUGAAAACCUUUCCUGAUGCUGAGCUAAAAUAUCUGGUAUGGGGCUCCCAGUAUUCUUUUGGCAGAAUUUCUGGAUUCAUGAUGGAUUAUGCGGCUCCAGUAUCAAUGAAGGCAAUUACAGUAAUAGGUUUACUGUAUUUGCUCAUAUAGAUAGAAACUGGAAUGUGAUGAGCUGUAAUCUCUGUGGAGGCAACAACUUGAGAGAUGUCUGAGAGAGAGUAACAAUCCAUUGAUGGUUGUAUCAUUAAUGAUGAAUCUAAUGAGGAGAAUUCUGAGUCUUUUGAAUCACUGGUUGCAAAGCUUUGAAUAGCACAUAUUGACAGAUCAUUUGGCUCAUCAUCAAUAGAAAAUAAAGACUAUAUCAUCUUCAUCAGUUAUUUUGAUUCCCGAUCUUUGCUGGAUUUGUCUGAUCAUCUUUGCUCCUUUCUUGUUUUUUGGACAGUCUUUUGCAAAGUGACCUUUUCUGUUGCAGAUGUAACAUCUUAUGGAUUUGGCUUUCUUAGAGAACUUUUUUUUUCUUGAGAUAUCUCUAUCUAAAUUUCUUUUGAGAUUUCAGUUUUCUGGCUCCCUUUUCUCUUCUGAAGUGCUUUUUCUUCUUUGUUGGGCAAUAACAUGACUUGUCUUCUUUGCCACAUUUGAUUUUAAUAUGCGAGUCAGUACAGGCUUUGUCUAUUCUUCUAUCACCAUGAAGAUAGUCCUUGAAGACUUUUCUUCUGUUGCAGAUGUCUUCAAGAGCAAUAAACGUCUCUUGCUGGAUUUCUCCCAUGGUCAAAUUGAGGAUAUUUUUAUUUUGCUUGUAGAGGUUCUGGUUAAUCGCAACUUGAAUAGGAUCUGGAAGAGAUGCGACAACAGCUUGCUUCAAACUUGGUUCUGAUCCAAGAGCAUAGUAAAGCUUCAUCAUAGCAUAUAAAUGCUUAGACAAAUCUUUUUUCUGAUAGGAGCAACAUUUUCUUUUGAAGAAUUCUCGCCUUUUGAGUGUCAGCAGAUCAUCAGGAUUACCAAUAAAAUAACUAUGGAUAAUCCUUAUGGCUUGAGAAAAAUCUGUUAACACCAAAAACUGUAAUUGAUCCGCCUGAGUAACUGAGUUCCACCAAUCUUUCAACAUUCCUGUGAAUCUUGAAACAAAUUCAGACAGGAUGUUAUAAUGGCUUUCUUCUGUUAGCCUUCUCGUAUCAAGCCAUGCAUGGAACUCUUGUAAUCUUUCAGGCCAUUUGUUAAUUGGAUUAUCAUCCAGCGUGAAGACCAUCUUUGUUGUAGAGACAUGCGGUGCUGAUCUUGCAUUUGAUGGUUCUCCAACUUCAGUCAUCUCUUCAUUUGAUGGUUCUUCAACUUUCACACCAGGUGUGGCCAUUACUUCUGGCAAAUCCUCAAUUCCUUCUUCUGAGGAAUUAUUGGUUUUUUCAAUUGAUUCUGAAUCACAAGGAUCUGCUGAUCUUUCUGAUUCCCCUGAAGAGGCUUAAAGAAGUUGCUCAUGAGCCAGCAGUGCCAGGACAAGAUUUAUUUUCUCAUCUGGCACAAAGAGAAAAAGAAAUCCAGAAUCUUAAAGAACAGAUAAAGUAUCUGAAAGAAAACGGAAAGUUGCCACCACGACAACCGGAGAAAAAUGGGAUUGAACUUUUCCCAUCUAUAAGACAGAUAGAUAGUCCUCGACAAAGUGAAACACAACCAAUCAUUUUCCCUCCACCAGAGCCAAAGAAGAAGGCCACAGUUUAUGAAUUGUGUCAACAAAUCAAAGCACAAAAGGAGGAAGAAAAAAAAAGCUGCAGAAGAAAAAAGGAAAAGAGAAAAGGCUAGAGGCAAAAGACCAGUGGAGAAACAGGAAGAUGAAGAAAGCCAAUUCUCUUAACCACCAACAUCUCCACCACCUCUUUCUCCCCUGUUUCUUUUCUAUUUCGUCCAUUGCUAUUAUUUAUUUUCUUUUAGUUUCUGUUUCUUUCUUUUACUUAGUUAUUUAAGUUAUACAUAUAUAUAUAAUAUAAUAUAAUUAAUAUAAUACUUAUUUAUUAAGUAAAUAAAUAUAAUAUAUAUUAACUAAAAUAUCUCAUAUAUUUCUUCUGUUAUGUCGCGUCAAUUUAGGCUGAUGGCAUAAUUCCCUAUUUGGUCCUUUUAACUUUUCUUUAAUCUAUUAUUCAACUUUCACCCCUACUUCAAUUUAGUCUUUUUUCACAAUAACUCUCAAUUAAGUCAAAUUCACUUAACCAAAACUUAAUUAAUCACACAACUAACUUCGUAAAUAUUUUUAAUAAAUAUUUACGAACCAGUUUCACUAAAUAGGAGGCCCGAUAAUUCACUUUCCAAUACCUGCACUUUUUAGAUCGUUACAAUUCUCCCCCCUAAAAAAAUUUCAUCCACGAAAUUUCUCACCUGAUACAAGUUAUUUAGUCAAAUAUUUUCUUCUACUUUUUUAAUUGAAGUCCAUAAAAUUCAAUGAUAAUUCAUAUAAUUUCCGGACUCUUGUCAAAACUCUUUUUAGAACUUGAUACUAUGCUUCACACAAUACCAUUAGUUUGAGGAUGAAAUGCAGUGUUACAGUACAAUCUCACACCCAAAAUUUACUGUAAUUUCCUCAAAAUCACAAUAUAACUUCGGAUCUCCAUUCAUAUCAAUGAAGACUGGCUCUCUGCGUAAACUAACAAUCUCAUAAAUGCAUAACUCACUAAUCUAUCAAAAGAGAAAUUUGUACGUAUUGAGAUAAAACGCAUAGACUUCUUCAAACAGUCAACAAUAGUUCAGAUAACAUCUAUCUUCUGCGAUGAUAAGAAUAAUCCUGAUACAAAAUUCAUCGAAAUUCUAUUUCGUUUCUACUCAAAUAUCAACACAUAAUAUAACAAUCCCUAAGACACUUGAAGAUCAGUUUUAACCUGUUGAAGGAUAAAAAAAAUUUGAAUAUAAAGUCAGAAAUAUCGCGUUUUAUACCCAUAGACCAUUACUUUGUCAUUCUUCAUCAAAAUACAGUCUAUUCCAUUUAAUGAUGUAACACUGUAAUAAUAAAUUUCUUACCCGAUUCAGACUGCACCAGAACUAAUGCUAAGCUUUAAAUUAUUCCGAGGCCAUUGUCAUCAAAUAAAUUAAAGCCAUAGUACUAUAGCAGAUCUAACGUCUCAACAAUAUAAAUGGAUCAAUACUUCAACUUCAAUAAUAUUUUUCAAAUAGAAGAGAAAAAUCGAGGAUGGCUCCAAUAUGAACCAGUGCAAUAAUACAGUUUCUAUAAUAUGUGAUCAUACUCUCAAAUUCCCAUGAUCAAGUCAAAAUUCAUAACAAUAAUAAGUAUAAGUACCACUGACCAACGGAUAUCUCUUCCAGUCAGACCAUAAAAUAACAAGAAAACCAAGACAACGAAAUCCAACUUGCAAAGCUGUACUGAAUUUCCGAGACGAUAAUCCAUGUUUCAUAAUAAAAAAUAUUGAUGAUAUUCCAAAGAAAAUCCAGAAAAGCAAUAUUGUACAUUCACACUAUAACAAUCAUAAUAGAGACACUGUAACUUGCACAUUUAUUAUUCAGAGCUUCAAUCAACUGAGGUAAAAAAUAAUAUCAUACGAAUCUUAUCAUCAAGUCUUCUAUCACUUAUAAUAGCUUGGGAGAACCAAAGAAAAGAUAAAACAAUACCACUCAUGAAUCAAUCAAACUUGAAAUCAUUUCCAUCUAUUACCAUAUUUCGCCAACCUUUUCAUAUAAUGAUUAUAGCAUUCGAACAUGAACAGUUACAUAUAUCUCCAAGAAUAACAAUACAUAUAGAAUGCCCAAAUAAAAUAUUUAGAAAAGAUUACUGUAAUAUACUCGAUUAUAACAGUUGUAUUCAAAUAUUUUUGCAAUUUCAUCACUAAUUCACUAACAUAUAUAGUCAUCAACAGCCCCAUAUCAUCCAAUUCACUCACGAAUCUUAUUCGGAAGAAAUUUUCAGAUCACUAAUUCACUAACAUAUAUAGUCAUCAACAGCCCCAUAUCAUCCAAUUCACUCACGAAUCUUAUUCGGAAGAAAUUUUCAGUUAACUCAUUCUGUAGAUACCAUAUCUAAAUAAAUCGAUUUCUCAUAAAUAACUUCUUUCUUUAAUAGUAGCAUUGUGUAUCCCAAAUAGUUUUUUUAAAAAAAACUCUGAUAUCUCUCUUCAAAACCCAUCUUUAUUUACUAACCCAUUCUCAGUUUUAACUGUUUUAUUUAUCAUUCCAUCGCUGAACUCUUCAGUUCCACACCUUUGAACUAGAUCAAUAUAAAUCUUAUGAAUUUCAUUAUAAAUAACUGUACCAAUAAUGGGUGGAGAUCGUAAGGCCUCACAUUUUAACUUCAUGUUUAUACUCAUAUAACAUAACAUUUAUCAUUUCGUAUGUACUAUAAAACAUUUAUCCAUAGCUUUUUCAAUUUAUAUAUUAUCAUAAGUACCAUUUUACUUAGAUACUUGAGUAUCACUUUCGAAAUCAUCGAAUAGCUGCGCGUUGAAUAGCUGCAAGCUUUUGGCGUUGGUUAUGGCUCUUUCUUUUGCUGCUCGGUCAAUAAUAUUACGAAAGUAGUAGAUGAUUAUAAGAUUUUAAUGCAAAAAAGUAUCUGAAAAAACUAGACAACCUACAAACAAAUUAAAUACACUGCGAAGUGAAGUCUACUUAGCAUUGAAUACUUUUCCAGACAUGGAUAUCCUUCUAGGAAACUUAAUAAAACUUGAAAAAAAAAUUGGAUUCCUGGAGGAAAACUUAAUGAUUCACAAGAAGGAAGUAACAGAACCUUAUAAAAAGUAGGCCCGCUGUAAGAACAAGGCCUCCUACUGCCCAAGAAACUCUUUCAUUAGAUGGCAUAUCCUGGAGCCACUGCUGGAAAUCUUCUAAGAGCCCAGAGUUCCCAGUUUUGUGGGGUUUCUCAGAUCGUGAAGCUCCCCAUGAAUCAGCAAUUGAAUCAAGACUCGCUUUGCCACCAUAACAGGACACUUCUUCAAUACCACCAUGCAUGCCAACGGAUUGUUCAACACGGAAACCUGCAGCAAGGCAUAAUUCUGUUCCAUUGGAUGCCCAUUCAGAUGCUCUACCACAAACAAAGUCAUUUGCUCCACAUGGUGCUAGAACCUGACAGAAAGUUUCUUCAUUUGAAUUAGAUCUAGGGGAAUAUCUAAAUUGAGAAGAUACUAAAGCAGUAUGACACAAAGCAAAACUAAAUAAAGCUCCAACGCUCAAACACAUUAAUGUACAACAGAGAAGAUAUCCGACUUCAUUGAAUGAUGGGAAGCACCAUGAAACUAACCAUCCUAGCUAUCAAAUUAUUACAACCUAAGUGUCGAUAGCUCUUCAGAGGAUAUAUUAAAACUUUAUAAACACGCAACCCUCCCCCGACCCCAUUAGUAUAUGAUCUUUACAUGGUGACUUAGAAGUCUACCUGUGUCUUUGCAUCCAUUGAGAAGUAAGCAUUAGAGCAGGCCCGAAAUACUCUAUCACAGAAGGAUGUGCAUAUAAGUGGGGGUCCAGGCUGAACUCCGACUCGUGGAUCGCAUAUGGAACAUUCCAGCAAUUCUCACAAAUGCAAACACUCUUCACUGGCUUCACCUGUUAAAGCCAGCCUCCUAAUAGAAAGCAAAGCAGGAUGUGCCUGGGCAGCAUCACAGCAAGUCUUUUUCCGAAACACCCUACAGAGUGUCAAAUCCUUGUGUCCCUUCCCCACCCUUUUAGGAGGUUUCCCCUCAGAAGAGAAGGGCGGAAAGCGACCACCUUGACAUACACAAAGACCACCGACUUCUCCUGGUAGAUAAAAACAAAUGAAUCUAACAUGCUGCAGCUUUGUAGGCAAAAUUUAGAACCAUAAAUUGUUGUAUUUAAGGAAGACCAUUAAAUGAGAAGCUCUUCAAAGUAAAAACACAACAUGCUUAAAAGAAAUAUCUGCAAUCUACAGAGUAAUCUAACACAUACACAUGGGUAAAUCAGCUAACUUUGAAGCUUAAAAUUAACAACUAAAAAGAAAAAAAAACAAAAUACCCCAUUAUCUAAACCCAAAUAAAAGAAACAAAGCCCUGCUAACAUCACGGUUCAAUUGAUUGAGGCCAAAAGAAACCUCCUUUUUAUCAAAACAACAACAAUUAAUGCCUAAUCUCCAACCCUAUGUCAAGAAUGAAAAACUUGAAACAAAACGCGUAACAGUAUCAAUAAAAGAAAGAAACCCAAUGAAAGAAUUUUUGAAGCUAAACGAACACUAAUAAAAACAAGAAAAAAAGAAGAAGAGGAAAGCAUAUAUUGUUUGUUACCAUAGGAAAAGGGCAAAAGAAGGUUGAAAAGGAGAAGAAAUAUAAGAAACCCAAGUUCAAUGUUAUUCAUUGCUUUUACUUGUACUCUGAUUUUUGAGCUGUGAAUCAUUGAGAAAACCCAGAAAGGUGGCGGGGAUCCUGCAUUUACAGUGGUGGAAGAACUGAAAGAAGAAGAAACUGGAAGAGUGGAAGAGAUCAAUGAGCAGAGACUAAAACAACGUUAGUA
rnacentral:lncRNA from 1 species